AUUGAACGCUGGCGGCAGGCUUAACACAUGCAAGUCGAACGAGGGGCGGACGGGUGAGUAAUGCCUGGGAAACUGGCUGAUGGAGGGGGAUAACUACGGGAAACUGUAGCUAAUACCGCGUACCAUCGGAUGAGCCCAAGUGGGUUUGGGUAGGUGGUGGGGUAAAGGCUCACCAAGGCGACGAUCCAUAGCUGGUCUGAGAGGAUGACCAGUCACACUGGAACUGCGACACGGUCCAGACUCCUACGGGAGGCAGCAGUGGGGAAUAUUGCACAAUGGGUGCAAGCCUGAUGCAGCCAUGCCGCGUGAGUGAAGAAGGCCUUCGGGUUGUAAAGUACUUUCAGCGAGGAGGCGUUACCCGCAGAAGAAGCACCGGCUAACUCCGUGUCAGCAGCCGCGGUAAUAC
rnacentral:rRNA from 1 species